rnacentral:rRNA from 1 species
UACGUAGGGUGCAAGCGUUGUCCGGAAUUAUUGGGCGUAAAGAGCUCGUAGGCGGUUCGUCGCGUCGGCUGUGAAAUCCCGAGGCUCAACCUCGGGUCUGCAGUCGAUACGGGCGGACUGGAGUUCGGCAGGGGAGACUGGAAUUCCUGGUGUAGCGGUGAAAUGCGCAGAUGUCAGGAGGAACACCGGUGGCGAAGGCGGGUCUCUGGGCAGUAACUGACGCUGAGGAGCGAAAGCGUGGGGAGCGAACAGG